rnacentral:rRNA from 1 species
AACGAACGCUGGCGGCAGGCUUAACACAUGCAAGUCGAACGAUGAAGCCGGAGCUUGCUCUGGUGAAUUAGUGGCGAACGGGUGAGUAACACGUGAGUAACCUGCCCUUGACUCUGGGAUAACUGCGGGAAACUGUAGCUAAUACCGGAUACGACCCUCGGAGGCAUCUCCUGGGGGUGGAAAGAAUUUCGGUCAAGGAUGGACUCGCGGCCUAUCAGCUAGUUGGUGAGGUAAAGGCUCACCAAGGCGACGACGGGUAGCCGGCCUGAGAGGGUGAGCGGCCACACUGGGACUGAGACACGGCCCAGACUCCUACGGGAGGCAGCAGUGGGGAAUAUUGCACAAUGGGCGCAAGCCUGAUGCAGCAACGCCGCGUGAGGGAUGACGGCCUUCGGGUUGUAAACCUCUUUUAGCAGGGAAGAAGCGAAAGUGACGGUACCUGCAGAAAAAGCACCGGCUAACUACGUGCCAGCCGCCGCCGUAA